UACGGAGGAUCCGAGCGUUAUCCGGAUUUAUUGGGUUUAAAGGGUGCGUAGGCGGUCCGUUAAGUCAGCGGUAAAAUCGUGGAGCUCAACUCCAUCCAGCCGUUGAAACUGGCUGGCUUGAGUUGGGGAAAGGCAGGCGGAAUGCGCGGUGUAGCGGUGAAAUGCAUAGAUAUCGCGCAGAACUCCGAUUGCGAAGGCAGCAUACCGGCGCCCAACUGACGCUGAAGCACGAAAGCGUGGGUAUCGAACAGG
rnacentral:rRNA from 1 species